CUUUUUGCUUACGACAGUUGAUGGGACUCCAAAACUAUCUGAUCUCUCUCUAAACUGUUUCGUCUGUAAAAAAAUAUAUUUAUUAAAUUUAUAAAUAUAUCAUUGAGUACAGAUCGAAUUCAGUUGAAUAAUCACAUCUGUUUUAAACUAGCAUACCUCUUGCAGACACAAUGAUGCGAUUUUUGGAUCGAGCACCAUCUUAUAUAUCACAUUACGAAGAGCAGCA
rnacentral:lncRNA from 1 species